CUGAGUCGCUCCGAGCGCAAAGCGGCUGAGCGGGUCCGGAGGUUGCGGGAGGAGCAGCAGAGGGAGCGCCUCCGCCAGGUACGCCGCCGCCGCUCCCCGGCCCGGCCAUGCCCGGCCCGCGCCGCCGCUCACCGCCUGCCUGCCCGCAGGUGUCGCGCAUCCUGAGGAAGGCGGCGGCGGAGCGCAGCGCCGAGGAGGGCCGGCUGCUGGCCGAGAGCGCGGACCUGGUAACGGAGCUGCAGGGCCGGAGCCGGCGGCGCGAGGGCUUGAAGCGGCGGCAGGAGGAGGCGAGUUCCGCGCGCGGCGCGCGGGCGCCCCCGGUUUCGGGAGCAGCUGGGGCGACGGGCGGUCCCGGGUGGGGCGGCCCGGGGCGGUGACCACCCUGGCGUCUUGACAGGUGUGCGACGACCCGGAGGAGCUGCGGGGGAAGGUCCGGGAGCUGGCCAGCGCCGUCCGGAACGCCAAAUACCUGGUCGUCUACACAGGCGCGGGAAUCAGCACGGUAGGGAGGGAGGCGGAGGCGCACCCGAGGACGGAGUAUGCGCUCCAGUAAUCGCGAAAAACUCGCCUUUAAAACAGCUCUAAGGUUUUUUCCCUUUCUUAAAGAAACGAAAUGACCAAAACUUAUCUAAGGUAAACGCUUUUUAAACGCUUGGUCUCUGUGUUACAGCCAGUUAAACAAGGAGUAGAGAUACGAAUGGGGUGUAGUAGCCGACUGUUCGCAGGCACCCCCAGGUUAUGUGGACAGAGCUA
rnacentral:sRNA from 1 species